UCGAACGGUGAAAGAGGAGCUUGCUCCUCUGGAUCAGUGAGCGAACGGGUGAGUAACACGUGAGUAACCUGCCCCAGACUCUGGGAUAAGCACUGGAAACGGUGUCUAAUACCGGAUACGAGCUUCAGCCGCAUGGCUAGGAGCUGGAAAGAAUUUCGGUCUGGGAUGGACUCGCGGCCUAUCAGCUAGUUGGUGAGGUAAUGGCCCACCAAGGCGACGACGGGUAGCCGGCCUGAGAGGGUGACCGGCCACACUGGGACUGAGACACGGCCCAGACUCCUACGGGAGGCAGCAGUGGGGAAUAUUGCACAAUGGGCGCAAGCCUGAUGCAGCAACGCCGCGUGAGGGACGACGGCCUUCGGGUUGUAAAC
rnacentral:rRNA from 1 species